UAGCACAUCCGCACUCCCCUCCUCCCAGCGCUCCUGCCUGUGCCGGCCGGAGCUGCAGCGCCGUCGUGGGGCGGCUGGAAUCUCAAAAUUUCAAGUUUCUAGACACCGUACGGAGAUUUCGAGAUUAUGGCCGCCGAAGGCCGGCGUUGCAACUCCGGCCAGCACAAACAGGAGUGCUGGGAGGAGGUGAGUGUGGCUGUGCUGGUCGGCGCUGUCGUUGCGCGCCGUCGGUAGCCGGAAUCGCCGAAUCCGCACCAUACGAACGGUGCGGACGUCCGCAUCUGAGAAUUUCUCUAUAUAUAUAUAUAUUUAUGCGAAGCUCUUCAGCCUUCUCGCACUUGAAGAUACUUUUCUCUUAGCAAAAACGUGGUUUAUAAACUCAGAUCAUGAAGACUACCUUAACACUUCUGGUGUUCGUUGCCUUUGUCCUGGUUUCUGCAUCUCUGCAAUCAAAUGCAUCGAGGCCCAAAUACGAUCGUGGCCUUGUCGUUGGCGAUUUUGAUCGAUCCGGACGAUUCCCAAGGACACCAAAUGAUGUCCCGACGGCUGCGGUGGACUCUAAAGAUACCAAGGUCGACACUGUGUCUGAUCAAAGCAAGGGUUCAGGAGAAACGAAAGAAAGUACCGGAGACAGUAGCACUAGUACUAGUACUGAUGCGAAGACCAACGAUGAAGAUGAUGUGAACCCGUCUUAUAAACACUAUGGAGGUACUGGUUCGAAGUCUGAUUCAUCAACCGACACUCACCGUUAUUAUUCUGUGGAUGACCGAACCGGUUCAAGCUCCAACGAUGAUGGACGCAAGCCCCAGAACUGAUAAUGACCGCUUCCAAUCAAAGACGAUGGAUCGAGGUAGCUAGCUAGCUAGCUUUCUUCCAUAUGUAUAAUAGAUAAAUUCGGUGUGCCUAUAUAUAGCCAUAUAGGUUGGUUUCAUAAAUAAGUAGAACCAGUGUCUUGUGAAGUGUGCUAACACGAGUUCGGUUUCACUGUGUCUAGCGCGCUAGCUAGCUUGUUGAAUCCAGUGUGAUGUUGUGUGGCUUAAUCCUUAGGCCAAUAGUAUGUAUUUUGCUUUGGCAGUUUAUCUAUAUAGCUUACAUAAACAUAA